GGGAGGAGAGCCUGGCAGACAGAGCUCUGGGCCUGACCUUUGCUUCAUUCUUCAUGGCUGCCAAGUGAGAGUGUGGCCCCUGCAGAUGGUUGGAUCAUCCAUCCAGUUCUUUGCUUCCUCUAGCUGAUAUCCUUCUUUGCUGUACUAUAUGGGAAAAGCAAGAAAUAUUUGACACCAAAAUUGCUUCCUUUGUGUGGCCCCGUAUUGCCCUGUAUAGAAGCAUUUCGUCUUCACAACAACUCUAUGAGGU
rnacentral:lncRNA from 1 species